rnacentral:tRNA from 1 species
ACUAGGAUCUGCUACAUAAGCAAUUGGACCCAUACCCCAAAAACGAUAACACCCCAUCUCCUAGUA